rnacentral:rRNA from 1 species
GCAGUCGCCGCGGUAACACGUAGGUGGCAAGCGUUGUCCGGAAUUAUUGGGCGUAAAGGGCUCGCAGGCGGUUUCUUAAGUCUGAUGUGAAAGCCCCCGGCUCAACCGGGGAGGGUCAUUGGAAACUGGGAAACUUGAGUGCAGAAGAGGAGAGUGGAAUUCCACGUGUAGCGGUGAAAUGCGUAGAGAUGUGGAGGAACACCAGUGGCGAAGGCGACUCUCUGGUCUGUAACUGACGCUGAGGAGCGAAAGCGUGGGGAGCGAACAGGAUUAGAUACCCCUGUAGUCCCUGUCUCUUAUAC